AUUACAUCGCGUUUCGUUUUGCACCGUAAAUGAGAACACUGAAAUUCGCGACUAAACGCUGAUUUGUAAUUUUAAUUAAUUACAGCAAAUAGUCUCACGUUGUAUCUUAAUUAUGAUUGAGUGUUAGUACGUGGUUCUAGUUGAUCAGUGAGAUACUUAUCGUGGUCUUAUGGAAAAUUAAAUACCGUUAUGUUGUUCGAUGUAGAUAAAAAAGUGACCAGAAUUUUAUUUGCGAUUAAGUUCUGGUAUCUUUCUAUUUGUUAACAAUCGUUGCUUAAUGAUGGUAGAUGAUUAAUCAUCCGAGAAGACAACAAACUGGUUCGAACAAGGAAUUCCGAGACUGGUCUGCAGUCGGACAACCAAUCAUCCCGGACAAGGGCAAGGGGGAGGGGAACGAGGCCAGGAACGUAAUCUUACGUAUCAAUUAGCUUCACGGUCCGAGGGACUUACCCCCCGCGGGCCUUUGACCGUGUGCCGCUUCGUCUUCGAGGUGUGAGAACCAAGACACUCUGCGCCACAGUCGUUUUACAACGUCUUCAUCGUCCGUUGCCUGUCUUUCUCGUCUUCCUCUUUUCUCCUCGCCGCUCGCACGAGAGAGAGAACGAAGAACAACGCAGCUGGACAGAAUGUGAGCGGAGACAGGAAGUAAGCCGGCCCAAUUUCGCUACAUCUGGUUUCUCUAAUGAACCAUGAAAAAAAAUAAAUUACCAACGAAGACCGUUGAUCCAAGAUGAUGAAAAAGCCCGUAAAUCUUCGGCUAGUAUAGUAAUUUAAUAACGGAUCGGUAUAGGUAUGCGAGACCGACACCUUAUUUAGGCGACGGUUAGGGUCCUCCGCUGUCCUCUUACAUCCAUAAAUAAUCAUUUCGGGAUUUAAAAAGAAAAAAAUAUGAAAAAGGAAGGCAGCACUCCUGGAAUCCGUGUAUUAGUCGGCCGAAGCAUCCGGAAAUUCGACUUUCGGCCGCCACUUUGUGGACCCGCUUUAAACUUGACGACGAAAUCCUUAAUGGACUCUUAAUUUUGAAAAAUGACUCUACUUUGAAUACGCGCUAAUUAAAUUUGCUAAAAUAAUAUAUUUUUCUCUUUUACAUAUCAGUUGAAUAUUAAUCACAUUAUCGUUUAUACCUAUCUUGCUAUUAUUAAUAAGGAUAAUUAUCAAUAAUUAUAUUUUCAUCUGAGUAGCAUACUAAUUGGUAUUUUCUAUACUAAAAUAGUAAAAAGUUGUAUAAAUUAAUUCAAUGCUUUCGCAGCUUGAACAGCAAAGCCUAAGUCAAUCGUUUGAAAAUUGGGGCUCUCUUCAUGGUCCGUCAUCCGAAAAUUAAAUUUCAUUAUAUCUCCGCGCUUUUGUGUAUUUGAAAAGUGACAGUGAAUAUAACAAUAAAAAUC